rnacentral:rRNA from 1 species
UACGUAGGGUGCAAGCGUUAAUCGGAAUUACUGGGCGUAAAGCGUGCGCAGGCGGCCUCUUAAGUCAGAUGUGAAAUCCCCGGGCUUAACCGGGGAACUGCGUCUGAUACUGGAUGGCUUGAGUUUGGGAGAGGGAUGCGGAAUUCCAGGUGUAGCGGUGAAAUGCGUAGAUAUCUGGAGGAACACCGGUGGCGAAGGCGGCAUCCUGGACCAACACUGACACUGAGGAGCGAAAGCCAGGGGAGCAAACGGG